AAAAUACGAAAAAAAAAAUAUAUACAAACGGCAACAAUUGAUCUCUGAAAAUCCAAAAUAUUUCUGCAUUUUUUGGUUCAAAAUUUAUGGAAAUUGUUCCUUGAUUUCAUUGUUAGCAGUAACUCAAAAAAUUUCCAAAGAUUUCUAGUUUAUUUGGGUUCAAAAAUGUUCUAAUGAAGUUGGAAUUAAUGUGUCAAAGUGUUGACCUACUGUUGCUGCUGAAUCGCUCAUUUUUGUUGACCCCAAAACACAUUUCCUUUGUUAUUGAUUGUUGUAUUCAGGUACUACUCUAAAACUUUGAGCAGCAAGUUUGAAUGUUGAAUAUAUGAAUAAUUUGGAUUGAUAUAGUUCUAUUAUUUCAAUAAAGUAGUUCUCAUGUGUUAGUUAAUUUAUUUAACUCUUUCUUUGUUUAGCCAGUACUAUGUGGGAUUUGAUUCAGCUGGUGUUCAGUUCUUAAUUAGAUAAGAACUUGUAUAUAAUUCAUAUUAUUAAGGCCUAUCUCUCCCUCUUCAUCUCUUCUUCAAUUCUGUCUAAGGCAUAGACCUCCAUUCCACUAUUGAGUUAAAAUAUGGAGGGAAUUAUUGAAUGUGUACUUACAUCAUUUCUCUAAGUUUAUUUUUGUUAAAUCUUUGGAAGUUCUAUUAUGGGUUUGAAUCUUCUUAGGUGAGUUUAACCUGCUUUGAAAUUCUGUCCUUGUUUAAUAUAUGAAGUAAUGAGGGUCUUAAAUCAGUUCAUGAUUGAAGUUUAGUUUUUUUUUUUAAACCAAGUUGUAAUCAGUUAGUACAUGAUAUUUGAUUAAGUUCCUUUUUUUGUAGGUUUAAAAACAGUUCAGCAUGACUUAGGUCUUAAUAUAUCUUUGGAUUGCCAUGCGUUAAAAUUGCUAUGUUGAUCUUGUGUUCAAAUACCCAUAUCUGUAAUUAAUGUUGAUGUGUGCAUAUAAGUAGACUUGGCCAGAUUCGUGGGUGGCCCAAAUAAGACCAUGAGUAUAAGCCCUAGGAAUUCAAGUUCAAUAAGUCAUGCAAAAUUAAAUAGGCCCCUGGGGAGCAAUGUAUUGGGCUUAUCAGGAAGUCAGGCGUCAUGAUUGGGAUCAUUGAUGGCCCAAAUUCUUUCCAGUGAUUAGAGUACCU
rnacentral:lncRNA from 1 species